rnacentral:tRNA from 1 species
GCCCGGCUGGCUCAGUCGGAAGAGCACGGGACUCCCGAUCUCAGAGUCAUGAGUUCAAACCCCAUGGUGGGCA